rnacentral:rRNA from 1 species
UUCCAAAAGAUUAAUAGCAUGCAUGUAUAAGUAUAAACGACUUGAUCGUGAAACCGCGAACGGCUCAUUAUAACAGCUAUAAUUUACUUGAUCUUGACAACCUACUUGGAUAACUGUGGUAAUUCUAGAGCUAAUACAUGCACCAAAGCUCCGACCGUAAGGGAAGAGCGCAUUUAUUAGAACAAAACCAAGCGGCUUCGGCCGUUCAGUGUUGACUCAGAAUAACUAAGCUGAUCGCAUGGUCUUGUACCGGCGACGUGUCUUUCAAGUAUCUGCCUUAUCAACUUUCGAUGGUAGUGUAUCUGACUACCAUGGUAGUGACGGGUAACGGAGGAUAAGGGUUCGACUCCGGAGAAGGGGCCUGAGAAAUGGCCACUACGUCUAAGGAUGGCAGCAGGCGCGCAAAUUACCCACUCUCAGAACGAGGAGGUAGUGACGAGAAAUAACAAGACCGUUCUCUUCAGAGGCCGGUCAUUGGAAUGGGUACAAUUUAAACCCUUUAACGAGUAUCUAUGAGAGGGCAAGUCUGGUGCCAGCAGCCGCGGUAAUUCCAGCUCUCAAAAUGCAUAGAAUCAUUGCUGCGGUUAAAAAGCUCGUAGUUGGAUCUGUGCUGACCUCCCGGUCCACCUUCGGGUGCGCACUGGUGGGGUUGGCUUUCUGCAGUUAUAGGGCUGGUGCCCUUCACUGGGUAUCAGAGUCCAGACUGCAAGUUUACUUUGAACAAAUCAGAGUGCUUCAAACAGGCGUUUCGCUUGAAUGUUCGUGCAUGGAAUAAUAGAAGAGGAUUUCGGUUCUAUUUUAUUGGUUUUAUAGACUGAGAUAAUGGUUAACAGAGACAAACGGGGGCAUUCGUAUUGCUACGUGAGAGGUGAAAUUCUUGGACCGUAGUUAGACGGGGUCCCGCGAAAGCAUUUGCCAAGAAUGUCUUCAUUAAUCAAGAACGAAAGUCAGAGGUUCGAAGGCGAUCAGAUACCGCCCUAGUUCUGUACCGUAAACGAUGCCAACUAGCGAUCCGCCGGUGGAUUCCUUGCCCUGGUGGGGAGCUUCCCGGAAACGAAAGUCUUCCGGUUCCGGGGGAAGUAUGGUUGCAAAGCUGAAACUUAAAGGAAUUGACGGAAGGGCACCACCAGGAGUGGAGCCUGCGGCUUAAUUUGACUCAACACGGGGAAACUCACCCGGCCCGGACACCGUAAGGAUUGACAGAUUGAUAGCUUUUUCAUGAUUCGGUGGAUGGUGGUGCAUGGCCGUUCUUAGUUCGUGGAGCGAUUUGUCUGGUUUAUUCCGAUAACGAGCGAGACUCUAGCCUACUAAAUAGUCGGCACAUUGUCUCUGUGUGUGUGACUUCUUAGAGGGAUUUUCGGUGUUCAGCCGCACGAAAUUGAGCAAUAACAGGUCUGUGAUGCCCUUAGAUGUCCGGGGCUGCACGCGCGCUACACUGGCAAAAUCAGCGUGCUUGUCCUUCCCCGAAAGGGGUUGGUAAACCCUUGAAAAUUUGCCGUGAUUGGGAUUGGAAAUUGCAAUUAUUUUCCAUGAACGAGGAAUUCCAAGUAAGUGCGAGUCAUCAGCUCGCGUUGAUUACGUCCCUGCCCUUUGUACACACCGCCCGUCGCUGCCCGGGACUGAGCCAUUUCGAGAAACUUGGGGACCGUGGAUUCGGUGGCUUUCGGGUCGCCGUUUUCGUGGGAACCAAUUUAAUCGCAGUGGCUUGAACCGGGCAGAAGUCGUAGAAGGUACUUUGAUAGGUGAAAUG